UUCCUUUCUCUUACCUGCCACUGAAGGAAACACAUCCCACCCUCAGGGACAUCUCGGUGUCUGAUCUGGCUGCUUCUGCAUGGCAGCCCUCCUGUACCUGUACCUCACCGGCGCUGAGGUCGUGUGCACCAGGCAUGCUCAUGGGGGUGACACCCUGGGCUCCCCAUCCAGCCCCAGAGCUGUGGCCAGACCAGCAAGGCCACUCAGGGUCCACUCCGCAGUCUCUGCUCUUCUUCAUAUCUAAGACUCAGCUCUCCUCGCAGAAUCUCCCUCACCAGAAAGAUGUCACCUCCCGUACCCAGUCUCCUCUGCCUGGAGCCACUGAGUCCGCAAUGUCCCGGACUGUGAGUUCCCUGAGGACAGGGACCUCGUCCUAUCAUCCGCAGCCCCUGCAGCUCAUACCGAUAGCAAAGACACUGGCACGUGGUAAUUAUUCAAUGAAGGUCUUUUGUAACCCAGGCGACACUGGCCCUUGCCAGAAAAAAGCCAGUAAAUGCAAUUAAUGCAGCACGAAGUAGGUCCUACUCUACACUUCCUAAAUUAGCCAUUUGGGGGAAAAAAACCGUAAGACACACACACGCACAC
rnacentral:lncRNA from 1 species